rnacentral:lncRNA from 1 species
AGCGGCACAAGUAGUUUGCGGGGCUCGGGAUCGGCGGGUCCACCCCGUCCCCGAGGGGCAGGGCGCGGUGGCUCACCGCAGCCGCGCGCUUCCAACUUGGCCUCGCCGAGGACCGCGGAACUUGGCCGCGCCGGCGCCCCCGCCCGGCGCCCGCCCGCCCGCCGCCCCGACUUCCCGCCCAGCCGCGGCCGCCGCCCAGCCCGGCGCGGGUCCGAGUCCGCCGCCGCCGCGUGCCGUGGGGAGGGGCCGCGCCACCUCAGCCCGACGGGUCGGGAGAACAAAGCGGCGGCGGCGGCGCGAACUUUUUUCGGUGUCUGCUCCGCGCUCCCUCAGGCGACUACUUACAGAGGCGGGCUCAGUCGCUGUGGAGAAAGUCCACGCGCGCCAGCGUCCGCGUCCCGGUCCCAGAGCAGGAGCUCAGCGAGGCUUCACGGACCUCGCAAGAUCCCGCCCGCCCGCUUGCUCGCGCCCCUUCCUCCCGUUCGCCCUCCCUCCCGUCCCGUCUCCAGGCCGGAGGGCGGGGGGCCGGGGCGCGCGGGCGGGGGCGCGCGGGGCCUGCCGGGAGCUGUAGUUCCCCGCCGCGCCGUGGCAGGCGAUGGCGGUCGGGGGUGGGGGCGGCGUCCCGAGUGGGGGACCGUGCCCAUCCCUGUGGCCGCCGUCACUCCGCACACCGGGCGACCAGCCAGAGUUCUUCACCUGCGGCACAGGGAGCCUGGGACGCCGCCUGCACGCGCCCUGUGUUUCCUCUCGUUCAUCUGUCCACCCGCCUGUGGCCCUCGCUACCAAAAGCUCAGUCGACGGCCACGGAACCUGCGAGAAAAUGAGUGUAGGUUCCCAGCAGAUGUUUUAGUCCAGCCCGGAAUAUCUUCUCCCAGCAAGAGUCUCAGAAUCUCAUUGGAGCAGCUUGCAUCCAGUUGCAUCUCACUCUUGACUUCCAUUUUCUGUUGUGGUCCUUAAAGAAACAGUUACUUUCUUUUCCAUAGGAGUAACUUUCUCCAAGAAUUAAAUGCUCUUCGGAGAUUUAAGUGUUUAUGUGAAAAUCUGUACUUUACAUCUAGAUAUUUCAUUGAACAACUUUCUCACCAGUCUACUUUUUAAUUGCUUUCUCUAGUUAAAUCUUUCAACAGGUCAUUUGAGGCUGAGACUGACUUUGCCUCUGAAAAUGUAUCCUUGUUGGACAUAAACCACAGUUUUCUCCCGUGGUCUCUUCCUGUCCUAAGAGAUGAAGAUUGGUUUUCAAGACCGAUGUUCAUGACCCUUAAGAGAACGUGGAAUCUGAAUGUUAAAAUCUUCUCGUUUUUUAAAAAUGAAAGACAUUUCACCUUUAAAGAAAAUGAAAACAGGAGCUUGUAAUCUUCCCCUUCUUUGGCUUUAGUUGUGAAUCUUCCUGUUUCCACAUUUAAUGUCCCUUCUUGCCCUUAAUGACAUAAUCAUUUACAUGUGUUACCUAAUACUAGUUAAGAGGGUCAACAUGGUUGUCAAUUGAGGGAGCAGAGCUCCCUGAUUUAGAAUCUUUUUUUGUUCUGUUACUUAUUUUAUUAGAAACAAGCUUCUUUUACAUGUCAAUCCUAGUUCCUUCUCCCUCCCCUCCUCCCCUGCUCCCCACCCCCAUCCCAACCCCUUACUGCUCCCCAGGGAGGACGAGGCCUUCCAUGGGGGAAUCUUAAAAGUCUAUCAUAUCAUUUGGAGCAGGGCCUAGACUCUCCUGUGUCUAGGCUGAGAGAGUAUCCCUCCAUGUAGAGAGGACUCCCAAAGUCCAUUCCUAUACUAGGGAUAAAUAGUGAUCCACUACCAGAGGCCCCAUAGAUUGCCCAGACCUCUAAACUGACAUCCUCGUUCAGGUCUGGAAAAGUCCUAUGCUGGUUUCCCAGCUAUCAGUGUGGUGACCAUGAGCUCCUCCUUGCUCAGGUCAUCUGUUUCUGUGUGUUUCUCCAGCUUAGUCUUGACCCCUUUGAUC